CAGCCGCCACGGUAAUACAGAGGGUGCGAGCGUUAAUCGGAUUUACUGGGCGUAAAGCGUGCGUAGGCGGCUUCUUAAGUCGGAUGUGAAAUCCCUGAGCUUAACUUAGGAAUUGCAUUCGAUACUGGGAAGCUAGAGUAUGGGAGAGGAUGGUAGAAUUCCAGGUGUAGCGGUGAAAUGCGUAGAGAUCGGGAGGAACAUCAGUGGCGAAGGCGGCCAUCUGGGACAACACUGACGCUGAGGCACGAAAGCGUGGGGAGCAAACAGGAUUAGAUACCCGCGUAGUCCCUGUUCUUAUACA
rnacentral:rRNA from 1 species